GGGAGAGGAAGAGGGGGAGAGAGAUAAAGAAAGGGAGAGAGGGAGAGAGAGGGGGGAUAGAGGGGAGAGCGAGAGAGCGGGUGGGAGAGCGAGAGAGCGGGUUAGAGAGCGAGAGAGAGAGGGAGACGAGGGGGGCAGAGACAGUGAGUAAUACAGCUCAUGUUGGAGAAAACCCCAGCACCAGCUGCUAUUGACAAACAGACACACAUCCCUGCCCCUCGUCUUACCAGACGUAGCAGUUCUCUCCUGCCGAUGCACUGGAAUCCCUAUCCUGUGUCGUCGUUCAGCCAAGAUAUUACAGUUUUUAAUGUCCCAUUGACAGGAUAGUCUCGACCGUAGAUCAUCCAGUUUAUUCUCCAGUGAUUGGCCAAUAGAACCGAUGGUAGUGGUGAUUUACUCACUCGCCUACGAAUUCUCACAAGGCACCCUGAACUUCGCCCCUUGUAUAUCCGUCUUUUCUUCACGCGAAUGACUGGGAUUUGGGCCUGGUCUCAGGGAAGCAGUAUAUCCUUCGUGUCGGACUCAUUAAAGAAAAUAUCUUUGUCCAGUUCGAGGUAAGUAAUCGUUGUUCUGAUAUCCAGAAGUUAUUUUCGGUCAUAAGAGACGGUGGCAGCAACAUUAUGUACAAAACAACUUACAAAAAAUGCAAAAAAACAUGAACCAAAUUGCUUUCUUGCUUUAGAUGGACUCUUGAUGUUAGUGUUUCCUGUUUAGUGUUUCAGAUGGACUCUUGAUGUUAGUGUUUCCUGUUUAGUGUUUUAGAUGGACUCUUGAUGUUAGUGUUUCCUGUUUAGUGUUUUAGAUGGACUCUUGAUGUUAGUGUUUCCUGUUUAGUGUUUCAGAUGGACUCUUGAUGUUAGUGUUUCCUGUUUAGUGUUUCAGAUGGACUCUUGAUGUUAGUAUUUACUGUCAGAGAGAAAAGGCUGACAGGACAAAGGGAGUGAGAGAAAAAGUGAGGAAUGCUGUGAGAGAGAGAGGAUGAGAGAGAAGAGAGGUAAGUAAGAGAGAGAGAGAGAGAUGAGAGUUGGGGGUAAAGGGAGUGAGAAAAUAGAGACAGAGACGGAGAUGGAGAGGGAGGGAGAGAAAGAGAGUGAGGGCGAGAGAGAAAGAGAGAGAGACAGUGAGAGAGAAUGAGAGGCAGAAAGCAAGAGAGAGAGAGAGUCAGAAGCACAGAGAGAGAAGGAGAACGAGGGAGAAAGGAGACAGAGACAGAGAUGAGGUGAGAGCCAGAGAAAGAAGGAGACAGAGAGAGAGAGAGAUGAGGUGAGAGCCAGAGAAAGAAGGAGACAGAGAGAGGAGUGCUGAGAGAGGAGAAGAAGAGAGGCAGAAGGAGAGUGAGAGAGGAGAGAAAGAGAGGCAGAAAGAGAGGAGAAGAGGAGAGGAGUGCUGGGGGUGUUUUGACGUUUCUUAACCCAGACACCUGCUGGGGGACAUGACAUCUUCCUCUGGGGGAGAAGGUGAUAAGAGGGUCAUUCCACCUCAAAAAGCACAAGAACGUUGGAUUUUGACACCCACUUUCUCAUAUUGUUCUGAAAUCGUUUAUAUUCUUAGAAACAGAUCAGAUUAGCAUGCCUGCAACAUUAUUUUGUUGAAAUAUAACGUGAUAUCUGAGAAAUAAAGCUAAUUGAUUUCACCAAAUUGUUCAUUUUAAAUUUAUAGGAUUAAUACAAUGUUCAAUAAAUAUAGUUCCUAACAUCCAAUUUGCACCAACUUUUUUUUUUUUAACAACGAGUUGGACACGAGGAAUGGAAAGAACUGGUAAGAAGCUGCCCCAAGGUCUCCCCCACACCAAUCCCAUGCCAACAACGACUAUACAGUAUCAGUUCUCUAUGUCUGACCAUUAGUAUGGAGCUGCUGCUUAGAGUACUCUUUCUUCAUACUACGUACUAUGUAUUCUAGAGUGAAUUUGGUAAUGGUUUCCUCUUGUUCAGAGAAAUGUGUCAUUAAAGUUGUUAGAUUUAUGUUCCGUCCUACAUCCUGAUAUUACCAGGGUCUGACUGUUAGAUGGUGUUUUUCUUUUAAAAGCACUACCCGGUAAUCACUCUAUGGAAAAUGUAUAACAGCAAUCCAUGCGUUUGGUUUUGUGUCCACUGUGUGAAAUGCUCAAACUUUUUUUUUUUUGCAUUUGUGGCACAAAUCUAAUGCAAGUCAAUGGUACGUAGUGUAUGUUAGCAUUUUCAUAAUUCCUGUUCAUAUCAUCCUAAAAAUUGACUGUGUAACUCAAAGAUGUUACUUAUACAUGACUUGGAUAUGAAGCGCAAAAAAAAUAUCAAGUUUCAUGUUUUAUUAGUCGUAUGUACGGGAAACUCAU
rnacentral:lncRNA from 1 species